GUGUAUUUGGCAUCACAUAUACUAAAACUGGAACAAUGCAGAGAUUACCAUGGUCUCUGCCCAAGGAUAACACUCAAAUUUGUAAAGCAUUCCAUAUUAUA
rnacentral:snRNA from 1 species